GGGGGAGGAUGGAGCAGCACUUAGUACACAGAGGCCUCUGGGAGAGGGGCCAGGAUUGCAGAAGGCUUGCAGAGGUGCUGGGGAAUCUGAUUUUGUCAAAACUAAAAAAUCCACAAGGCAGCCUCUGAGCAGCCCAGAGUCCAAACUGCCAUCUGUCCCCUCAGCUCUGAAAGAUGAGGUGCAAACCCCUGCCCUACCCAAGGCUCUCCUGCUGCACACUGCCAGGCACUGUCUUCAUGGACCCACACUUCCUUCCAUAUUGCUGGGGACACAGUGGGGCCUUGCCAACAGUGAUUCCUCUUUGUUAGGAUCUUUGCGUGUAGUCAAAACAGGGCCCCAUCUCCUCAUUACUCCCCCAGGUGUCUACCUCUUCCCACCCCAUGGGCAAACCUCCAUGGAUGACUGGUCUGUGACCCUCACCAGCCAGGCCAGCCAUUCUGGACAUGACCAGAGCCCUCCCCUCUUCUUCCCUUGUCACCAGCCCUCAACUGUGAAACUACAGAUGGCAUGUCACCUCUUCAUGCUCCCAGUUUGGGGCCUACCCAGUGAGGGGCACACUAGUUGAUUCCAUACACCCUCAGCUGGCUUUGUUUAGAAUGUGAAUGUCACAGCCAGGCGCGGUGGCUUAUGCCUGUAAUCCCAGCACUUUGGGAGGCCGAGCCGGACUGAUCACUUGAGGUCAGGAGUUCGAGACCAGCCUGGCCAACAUGGUGAAAUCCUGUUUCUACUAAAAAUACAAAUACUAAAUACUAAAAAUACAAAGCCAGGCAUGGUGGCAUGUGACUGUACUCCCAGCUACUCGGGAGGCUGAGACAGGAGAAUCACUUGAACCCGGGAGGUGGAGGCUACAGAGAGCCAAGAUUGCACCACUGCACUCCAGCCUGGGUGACAGAGCGAGAC
rnacentral:lncRNA from 1 species